UACGUAGGGUGCAAGCGUUGUCCGGAAUUAUUGGGCGUAAAGAGCUUGUAGGCGGUUUGUCGCGUCUGCUGUGAAAUUUCAGGGCUCAACCCCGAACUUGCAGUGGGUACGGGCAGACUAGAGUGUGGUAGGGGAGACUGGAAUUCCUGGUGUAGCGGUGAAAUGCGCAGAUAUCAGGAGGAACACCGAUGGCGAAGGCAGGUCUCUGGGCCAUAACUGACGCUGAGAAGCGAAAGCAUGGGGAGCGAACAGG
rnacentral:rRNA from 1 species